GCAUCAAUGGGGUAGUGGUAACCUGGGUCGUUGCCAUGCACUGACUUCGCCCUCUAUUUCCGACCCGCCGGGGGGUUCAAUUCCCUCUUGAUGUA